rnacentral:lncRNA from 1 species
UUUUCAGUCUUUGAACGAAAAAGACGUCUCCCGGUCAGAAUAUUAUCGCUAUUUUACGAGAAAAAUCGCAUAAAAAUUGAUUUUAAAUAGACAAACUGCUGACAUAAUCUAAUGUUUUGCUUUCGUUGUAAAGCCUUUUUGAAAUCGGACAGUGUGGUUAGAUUAACGAGAGUCUUAUCUUUAAAUGGCUGUAAAAUAGUCAUAUGUUUGAGAAAUUGAAGUAAUAGGAUUUUUAAGAUUUUGAAAAUCGCGCCACAGGCUGCAAGUGGCUGUUACGUAGGUGGGACGAAUUCGUCCCGCCUAGCCUAGAGAGGUUAAAAUAGUUUCUGCAUGUCGGGUUAUGUCGUUUCUAUUGUAGCACAAUGUUUUGUGUAUAUUCCUGAUAACCGCGGACACGCGAUGUAACGUUACACAUUUAUGGUGUUAUACUCAAUGCUUAGAUAGCUAGCUACUUUCUUCUAUUAGCUCUGGAAAACAAUGCUAAUUGCGUCAGGGAAGUAUGUGUUGUAUUUUGAAACUACCCUGGCCUUAUGAAUCACAAGUGGCACAGCGUCUCAGUGCCAGAGGCAUCACUACAGACACCCAUCUUCAAAUCCAGGCUGCGUUUCUAUCAAAGUGGUCCACCUUCCCUGUGGCCGACAUGGUUGCUGUACGGACAGUGGAGAGAACAUGGACGUCUCAUUUGUCAUGGCACUUUACUGCCAGCUGUCAACAUUUCUUAUUUUGAAUAACGGGUCAUUUAGGAUGGCAGUAGCGUUGUUGAUGAAAUGCAGUCAUAGCAGCAGAACUAGAAUGCAGUCUUGGGAAAAGAGGGUGGCAAAGAAGGGAGUUGCAAACAUAGGAUCUCUGCUCCAGUAUUCUCUUAGGGAGUUCUUCUUUACUAUCCCCAUGAGAAGGACUGUCACCAGGAAUGUAUACAUUUCACUAAUUGUGGUUGUCCCCCCCACUCCUGGCUCUCUCUCUUCUCCUGUAGCUCCAAGGCAUAGUGAUUGGUCUCUACUAUGUCUCCCACCAGCUCCUCUGUCAGAAACAACUUGAAGCACUCUGCCUCAGAUGGAAAUGGCAAGGGGCGUUGCACUCCAGACUGCGACUCAUCAACACAAACGGCAGGGCCAGGAGGGGUGAAAUGGCUGGCAGCCUUCCAGCUACCACAGAACUCCUGUACUUCAUCCACUAUCGGUCUGCCUCCAUCACCACCAGCAUCUUCAAAGGGAACUGGGACUUUGUCAGUGGACAAGGGGUCCUCAGACAAGGGAUCCUCUGUCACUGUCAGAAUCUGAUUCCUGACUUUCAGACUCACUCAUUGUCAUAAUUUUGUUAAAUCUCCAGAAUUUCCACAUUUUUGAGUUGUCUCCUUUUGAAAGACAUUGCUAAUGCUACAGCUUAGCUCAAUAGCUACAUACA